rnacentral:rRNA from 1 species
AGGACGAACGCUGGCGGCGUGCUUAACACAUGCAAGUCGAGCGGAAAGGCCCUUCGGGGUACUCGAGCGGCGAACGGGUGAGUAGCACGUGAGCAACCUGCCCUUAGCUCCGGGAUAGCUCCGGGAAACCGGAAUUAAUACCGGAUACGACCACGGCCGACAUCUGCUGUGGUGGAAAGGAUUCCGGCUAAGGAUGGGCUCGCGGCCUAUCAGCUAGUUGGUGGAGUAACGGCCCACCAAGGCGACGACGGGUA